GCCUCAGUAACGGCGAGUGAAGCGGCAACAGCUCAAAUUUGAAAUCUGGCCUCUUUGGGGUCCGAGUUGUAAUUUGUAGAGGAUGUUUCGGGUACCGCCUCGGUUUAAAUUUCUUGGAACAGAAUGUCAGAGAGGGUGAGAAUCCCGUCUUGGACCGGCGGUAGGGCCCGUGUGAAACUCCUUCGACGAGUCGAGUUGUUUGGGAAUGCAGCUCAAAAUGGGUGGUAAAUUUCAUCUAAAGCUAAAUAUUGGCCAGAGACCGAUAGCGCACAAGUAGAGUGAUCGAAAGAUGAAAAGCACUUUGAAAAGAGAGUUAAACAGUAUGUGAAAUUGUUGAAAGGGAAGCGCUUACAACCAGACUUGAGCGCGGCGGUUCCCCCUUCCUUUUGGUUGGGUUACUCCGUCGUGUCCAGGCCAACAUCGGUUCUGGGGGUCGGUUAAAGACCUCGGGAAUGUAUCUACCCUUUUGGCGUAGACUUAUAGCCCGAGAUGUCAUGCGGCCUCCCGGGACCGAGGAACGCGCUUCGGCUCGGAUGUUGGCGUAAUGGUUGUCAGCGACCCGUCUUGAAACACGGACCAAGGAGUCUAACAUCUAUGCGAGUGUUUGGGUGUCAAACCCGUAACGCGGAAUGAAAGUGAACGGAGGUAGGAAGCCAUUGCGGCUGCACUAUCGACCGAUCCUGAUGUCUUCGGAUGGAUUUGAGUAAGAGCAUAGCUGUUGGGACCCGAAAGAUGGUGAACUAUGCCUGAAUAGGGUGAAGCCAGAGGAAACUCUGGUGGAGGCUCGCAGCGGUUCUGACGUGCAAAUCGAUCGUCAAAUUUGGGUAUAGGGGCGAAAGACUAAUCGAACCAUCUGGUACUGGUCC
rnacentral:rRNA from 1 species